rnacentral:rRNA from 1 species
AGUGAACGCUGGCGGUAGGCCUAACACAUGCAAGUCGAACGGCAGCACAGUAAGAGCUUGCUCUUACGGGUGGCGAGUGGCGGACGGGUGAGGAAUACAUCGGAAUCUACUUUUUCGUGGGGGAUAACGUAGGGAAACUUACGCUAAUACCGCAUACGACCUACGGGUGAAAGCAGGGGAUCUUCGGACCUUGCGCGAUUGAAUGAGCCGAUGUCGGAUUAGCUAGUUGGCGGGGUAAAGGCCCACCAAGGCGACGAUCCGUAGCUGGUCUGAGAGGAUGAUCAGCCACACUGGAAAUGAGCCACGGUCCAGACUCCUACGGGAGGCAGCAGUGGGGAAUAUUGGACAAUGGGCGCAAGCCUGAUCCAGCCAUACCGGGUGGGUGAAGAAGGCCUUCGGGUUGUAAAGCCCUUUUGUUGGGAAAGAAAAGCAGCAGGUUAAUACCCCGCUGUUCUGACGGUACCCAAAGAAUAAGCACCGGCUAACUUCGUG